rnacentral:rRNA from 1 species
GAUGAACGCUGGCGGCGUGCCUAACACAUGCAAGUCGAACGGGCUUAAACUGAAACCUAGUGAAGUUUAAGUUAGUGGCGGACGGGUGAGUAACGCGUGGAUAACCUGCCGUAUGCAGGGGGAUACCAACUGGAAACAGUUGCUAAUACCGCAUAAGCGCACAGCACCGCAUGGUGCAGUGUGAAAAGAUUUAUCGGCAUACGAUGGAUCCGCGUCCGAUUAGCCAGUUGGCGGGGUAGAAGCCCACCAAAGCGACGAUCGGUAGCCGGCCUGAGAGGGCGGACGGCCACAUUGGGACUGAGACACGGCCCAA